ACAACGAAGAGUUUGAUCCUGGCUCAGGAUGAACGCUAGCGACAGGCUUAACACAUGCAAGUCGAGGGGCAGCGGGGGUAGCGAUACCCGCCGGCGACCGGCGCACGGGUGAGUAACGCGUAUGCAACUUGCCUAUCAGAGGGGGAUAACCCGGCGAAAGUCGGACUAAUACCGCAUGAAGCAGGGGCCCCGCAUGGGGGUAUUUGCUAAAGAUUCAUCGCUGAUAGAUAGGCAUGCGUUCCAUUAGGCAGUUGGCGGGGUAACGGCCCACCAAACCGACGAUGGAUAGGGGUUCUGAGAGGAAGGUCCCCCACAUUGGUACUGAGACACGGACCAAACUCCUACGGGAGGCAGCAGUGAGGAAUAUUGGUCAAUGGCCGAGAGGCUGAACCAGCCAAGUCGCGUGAGGGAUGAAGGUUCUAUGGAUCGUAAACCUCUUUUAUAAGGGAAUAAAGUGCGGGACGUGUCCCGUUUUGUAUGUACCUUAUGAAUAAGGAUCGGCUAACUCCGUGCCAGCAGCCGCGGUAAUACGGAGGAUCCGAGCGUUAUCCGGAUUUAUUGGGUUUAAAGGGUGCGUAGGCGGCCUUUUAAGUCAGCGGUGAAAGUCUGUGGCUCAACCAUAGAAUUGCCGUUGAAACUGGGGGGCUUGAGUAUGUUUGAGGCAGGCGGAAUGCGUGGUGUAGCGGUGAAAUGCUUAGAUAUCACGCAGAACCCCGAUUGCGAAGGCAGCCUGCCAAGCCAUGACUGACGCUGAUGCACGAAAGCGUGGGGAUCAAACAGGAUUAGAUACCCUGGUAGUCCACGCAGUAAACGAUGAUCACUAGCUGUUUGCGAUACAUUGUAAGCGGCACAGCGAAAGCGUUAAGUGAUCCACCUGGGGAGUACGCCGGCAACGGUGAAACUCAAAGGAAUUGACGGGGGCCCGCACAAGCGGAGGAACAUGUGGUUUAAUUCGAUGAUACGCGAGGAACCUUACCCGGGUUUGAACGCAUUCGGACCGAGGUGGAAACACCUUUUCUAGCAAUAGCCGUUUGCGAGGUGCUGCAUGGUUGUCGUCAGCUCGUGCCGUGAGGUGUCGGCUUAAGUGCCAUAACGAGCGCAACCCUUGCCACUAGUUACUAACAGGUAAAGCUGAGGACUCUGGUGGGACUGCCAGCGUAAGCUGCGAGGAAGGCGGGGAUGACGUCAAAUCAGCACGGCCCUUACAUCCGGGGCGACACACGUGUUACAAUGGCGUGGACAAAGGGAAGCCACCUGGCGACAGGGAGCGAAUCCCCAAACCACGUCUCAGUUCGGAUCGGAGUCUGCAACCCGACUCCGUGAAGCUGGAUUCGCUAGUAAUCGCGCAUCAGCCAUGGCGCGGUGAAUACGUUCCCGGGCCUUGUACACACCGCCCGUCAAGCCAUGGGAGCCGGGGGUACCUGAAGUCCGUAACCGAAAGGAUCGGCCUAGGGUAAAACUGGUGACUGGGGCUAAGUCGUAACAAGGUAGCCGUACCGGAAGGUGCGGCUGGAACACCUCCUUU
rnacentral:rRNA from 1 species